GGUGGUUCUCAGGUGAUGCACCCUGGAAUCAGGCUCCCUUCUCUCUGGUUCUGGGUGCGUCACACAAGAACCGCA
rfam:Myotis brandtii contig195103, whole genome shotgun sequence.